rnacentral:rRNA from 1 species
GAUGAACGCUGGCGGCGUGCUUAACACAUGCAAGUCGAACGAGGUCCAUGGAGCUUGCUCCGGAAGACCUAGUGGCGAACGGGUGCGUAACACGUGAGAAACCUGCCCCGAUCUCUGGGAUAACAGUUGGAAACGACUGCUAAUACCGGAUGCCGUCACACCGCUUCAUGGCGGAGUGCCGAAAGAUUCAUCGGAUCGGGAGGGUCUCGCGGCCUAUCGGCUAGUUGGAGAGGUAACGGCUCACCAAGGCAUCGACGGGUUGCUGGUCUGAGAGGAUGAUCAGCCACAUUGGGACUGAGACACGGCCCAAACUCCUACGGGAGGCAGCAGUGGGGAAUAUUGGACAAUGGGCGCAAGCCUGAUCCAGCCAUGCCGCGUGAGUGAUGAAGGCCUUCGGGUUGUAAAGCUCUGUCGUGGGGGAAGAAGUUCUGACGGUACCCCACAAGAAAGCACCGGCUAACUCCGUGCCAGCAGCCGCCGUAAUAC